CCACCAGUGAAUCCCCAGCCCUGGGAACAGUGCCUGGGAAGUAUUUUGUCUAAGCUCCUCAGCUGUCAAGUCCUUGAGCCAAGGUUCCAUGGGAUGGACUUCUGACUGCCAUAUUCAGAGGCAGGGGAGGAGAACUAACAAAUGCCCCAUGCUGCAGCUCUGCCCAUGCAGCAAAGCUGAGUGAAACCCCCUGGGGAAAGCUGGAAGUGGCUCUGCGGAGCAGGCAGGAGAAUUCUACAGCCAGGACAUGAGCAGCCCACCACCUUUGAACUCCUCACCAUUGAAGGACAUCUGAGUGGCUCCCAGUU